AGCAAAGAUGCUUAAACACCAAAUCUUACCCUACUCCUUACAAGCUGCCAAGGGUCUUUCUUCAAGCUAAUGCCAGGUUGGCACAAAAUGAGAUUCCCAACCUAGAUAACAGUCUGCGUACCUGACCAGUAGAGCCCACUUUGUUAGAUAUGGCAAAUGGUGGCUAACUGCCACCACUUUGCUCAUUGGAGUGGUGGAUUGGAAUUGUAGGGGGAGGUUUCUGCUUCAGAGCAAUAAAUUUUGGUGAAAUUAAGAGUUUCCAUGACAAGAACCUCAGUAGUCUGAUGAGACAGGCUGUCACAAAGGGACAAGAAAAACUUCUGUCUCCAGAGGAUGCAGAGGUCCAGCAGGAGCCACUGUCUCACCUAGAAGUUGACUCUCCAGCCACCAGCCUACUGACCGUGCUCAAGCGAAGCAGCUUCCUAUUUGUCUGCAGGGCAGGAAGCUGGGUUUGGUAUGGCUACAGUCCAUGAGCAGAUGCAGCUCUCUGGCCAGUGGAACCAAGUUAGUGACAUAAGUGUUUCUUGCUCUUUUUCUCAUUGGUAAAUUUAGCUAUCUCAAGUGACUCCACAGGCAAAAAUAUUUUUAUUAUACAGUUCUAAUAAAACGCCUCACUCUAAGAAUGAUUAUGGGAUCUACCAAGGUCAUUUAAGGCUGUAGAAUACAAAUGACACCACAGGUUCAAGCACUGUAGUCCUCUUCAUUAAUCUGUGGCUAUCUUUCUGGUUGAGAUCUGGAUGUCCUCAGCAGCUGCUGGUGCUAAUGAGAGCUGAGAGCACCCCAUGAACUCACUAGAUUAAGUGCUAACCUUAAUAGCUGCUGACCUAAAUGUUCCCACUCCAGCAGCCAAGGAGUGGAAAAUUGUUCAGGAAACUUAAUUUAAUCUCUCAUGUCGGUGUCCUUCACAUGCGUCACCGUCCCUGGAGGUGUUCAAGGAAUGUGGAGAUGUGGCACUUAGGGACAUGGUCAGUGGGCAUGGUGGGGAUGGGUUGAUGGUCGGAUUGGAUGAUCUUAGUGGUCUUUUCCAACCUUAAUGGUUCUGUGAUUCUAUGAUUCCCUGUACUGAGCUGUGUGCUCCUGGACUGCCUCCUCACAGAACUCCAUAGCCAGCCUUCACCUUCCAGAAAUCUGUGGAUGAGGCGCUCAGUUUUCAUCCUAAAUCCGAUUACAUCACGUAUCACCUGGCCACAACCAAUGAGGCAGUGAAGAGCAUGUAACAUCGUGGGUGCUGACCACCUCAUGAGCUGGGCAGAGUGCUUCAUGCAUAGAAUUAAACCACUAUGGAGCCAAAGGUUGAUUGUUUCACAGAGGCCCGAUAACAUGGAAAGAUGUUUCUCACAGUAACACUUAAUGACAACACGUACUAGACUCAUCAAGCAGCGCUUAGUGGUGGGGCCAUCUUGUGGUGAGACUCCAACUGUCCGUCUAAACCAGGAGGUAAGUCCACAUUGUUGGGUUUAAAAGAACAAAUCGAGCUUCCUUCAACCUUUUUGACUUACUGACACUAUUUUAGAUACUUUAAAAUGCAGGAGACUGUGUAAUAACUGCUUACAUCAGAUGCAGGCUGGGCACGGGCCUGCCAGCACUGCCAUGUGAGUCAGAUCCCAGUAGCAGCCUGGUGGAACUGAAAAGAAAAACUAAUUUUAUCUUUUCAGGUAGAUUUUAGAUACUUUUCAGAUUUUCAACUUAAUUGUCCUAUAGUUUUAAAACAACUCCACGGAAGUGCUAAAACAAAACCAAAACGACGUGCAAUAUCCAGCCUCUCUGAGCCCAGAAGGCUGCCACAGUCAGAGACACCAUCCUCGUGCUGGAGCACAGCAUCCCAAACUGCUGUACCACCAUUCGAGGGAGUGAAAAUAGUGAUGUCAGAGGUGAUGGGCCUUUGGAGCUGGGAUGGAGAUUUUCUACGCAUAUAUUUUCCACUGCAUAUUUUGGCAAAAGAUUGAGGGCACCUGCAGCUUGCCUUCCUCUGAAUCAGGGCCAAGGCAAUUGCCACUUCAACUGGGGCUUUAAAAAAGAUAUACUGUUCUGUAAACAACAGUAAACUCUUUGUCUUCUAGAAUUUUCCAAUUAUUUAAGAAUAGUUUUUAAAAAGUUCUUUUUUUUUUUUUCUUGCUUAAUUUUCUUGAAUCUCACCUUGAAAUGUAACGCCAUUAUAUCAUAGAAUCAUAACAUAGAAUGGCUUAGGGUCGGAAGGGACCUCAAAGAUCAUCUUUGAUCUGCUGCCAUGGGUAUGAUUGCCAACCACUAGAUCAGGCUGCCCAGGAGUCCAUGAAGCCUGGCCUUGAGUGCCUCCAGGGAUGGGGCAUCCACAGCUUCACUGGGCUGCUUGUGCCUCACCAUGUAUUACUCUGAUGCACUGUUCCCAUUGUUGCAUAGACUGGAUCAUUCCUCACAGCUUAACUGUAGUCUACCAAGUCUAACUGAAGUCUACCACUGAAGUUGUAGACUAACAAGUGAAGUCUUAGACUGAAGUCUAACAAGUGGCACAUAUGCCUAUUCUUUACUCUUACUUUGUUUUCAGGAAAGCAUCCACUUGUAAAGUUGACUACAAUAAUACUUUGUUCUGAAUAAUUGGCAACAGCGAAAUGUUUGAAAAGCAGUUCUGGG
ensembl:lncRNA